rnacentral:rRNA from 1 species
UACGGAGGGUGCAAGCGUUAUCCGGAUUCACUGGGUUUAAAGGGUGCGUAGGUGGGUCUGUAAGUCCGUGGUGAAAUCUCCGAGCUUAACUUGGAAACUGCCAUUGAUACUAUCAGUCUUGAAUACCGUGGAGGUAAGCGGAAUAUGUCAUGUAGCGGUGAAAUGCUUAGAUAUGACAUAGAACACCAAUUGCGAAGGCAGCUUACUACCCGAAUAUUGACACUGAGGCACGAAAGCGUGGGGAUCAAACAGG